UUGGAGGGGUUUCUCUUCAACACGCGUAAAUCUUUCGCCUUUUACUGAAGAUUUUCGUGGAGAGAAAUAAUUCAGAGUGGCUCAACAAUUUUUGGAAGCCUUGUCUUCGCAAGGCU